CCUACGGGAGGCAGCAGUGAGGAAUUUUGGUCAAUGGCCGUAAGGCUGAACCAGCCAAGUCGCGUGAAGGAAGAAGGAUCUAUGGUUUGUAAACUUCUUUUAAGAGGGAAGAGAAGAAGACGGUACCUCUUGAAUAAGCAACGGCUUACUAAGUGCCAGCAGCCGCGGUAAUACGUAGGUGGCAAGCGUUGUUCGGAUUUACUGGGGCUAAAGGGCGUGCAGCCGGGCAGACAAGUCAGAUGUGAAAUCCGGGGGCUCAACCCCGGAACUGCAAUUGAAACUGUUAGUCUUGAGUAUCGGAGAGGUCAUCGGAAGUACAUGUGUAGCGGUGAAAUGCGUAGAUAUAAGGAAGAACACCAGUGGCGAAGGCGGAUGACUGGACGGCAACUGACGGUGAGGCGCGAAAGCGUGGGGAGCAAACAGGAUUAGAUACCCUUGUAGUC
rnacentral:rRNA from 1 species